GCCCCUGGACAGGCGCGGCAGGUGAGGACCUGCAGGUGAUUCAGCCUGAGAAGUCAGUGUCUGUCGCAGCUGGAGAGACGGCCACUCUGUGCUGCACCCUGACCUCCCUGCUCCCUGUGGGGAACGUCCUGUGGUUCAGGGGCACAGGGCCAGGCCGGGAGUUAAUCUACAGUUUCAAAGGAGGCCACUACCCCCG